CCAGCCGGUCGGACGGCCGCUCCGGCAGGGUCGAAAGGCCGCCGGGGAGGAAAGUCCGGGCUCCACGGAAACACGGCGCCGGAUAACGUCCGGCGGGGGUGACCCCAGGGAAAGUGCCACAGAAAUCAGACCGCCCGCGUUCGCGCGGGUAAGGGUGAAACGGUGGGGUAAGAGCCCACCGCGGCGGCGGCAACGUCGCCGGCACGGCAAACCCCGCCGGGAGCAAGACCGCAUAGGGAUGGUGGCGCGUUUCCGGCCAUAACCAUCCGGGUGGGUCGCAUGAGGCGUCCGGCGACGGGCGUCCCAGAUGAAUGGUCGUCACGUGGGGGUUCGCCCUCGCCAUACAGAACCCGGCUUAUAGACCGGCUGGCAUU
rnacentral:RNase_P_RNA from 2 species